GGGGAUAUAGCUUAGCUGGGAAAGCGCUGCGUUCGCAACGCAGAGACCGCGGGUUCGAAUCCCGUUAUCUCCACUA
rnacentral:tRNA from 1 species